rnacentral:lncRNA from 1 species
CUUUACUUUUAUUUAAUUUUUUUUUAUUUUAAUAUAAUUAAAUAAAAAUAAAAAACUAAAAAUAUAUCAGUUAUUUGAGGAUCAGGAACUGUCGGGGAUCGCCUGGUAUUAUUUGGGGAGAAGACGGGGAUUUCCUCAAAUAAUUUUGACGGAAAUAGGGUAGAGAUGGGGACAUAUGCAGAAUGUCAAGGAUAAAUACGAGGAUGUCGGUCUCCUACCCUCUCCUCCCAUUGCCAUCCCUAGGGCAAUCUCAAAUAAUUUUAUUUUUAUAAUCUUGAUCAUUGGUCAUCCAAGUAACGUAUCCCUAUUAUAGGAUUUUAAACUACGAGAUUGUUUGUUAAAUGUCUGAAGUCUGAAAUUUUAUUAAUUUCAAACAUUUUCUAAAAUAUGCUUAGCGGCUGAAUCAAUGAACACCUUUCUAAACCUGCGCAUACUGCUUAAGUUAAGCCUACGGUCAAAUUCAUUCAAUAGCUAUCCUUGCCACCCUCGCUGGUGCCACACUCCCAUGCGCUGUGUUCCUAUAGUAAAUUUCAUUCUGCGCCAAUCUCCACUGCAACCCAGCCACAGUCGGCCAGCCGCACCUUCUUCAGUUAUUGGAUUGAGUUUGGGAUUAGGUUUGGGUUUUAAUUUUUUUUUAAUUAGUUUCGUUUUAAUUUUGGUUAUUUUGUUUCAUUUUAUUGUAUUUUUUAUUAUUUUGUUUUAUUUAUUAUUUAAUAUCUAAAUCACGAAGAAAAACUAAAGUCAUCUAUUUUUUUUUUUGUUAUUUAGUUAACGUGAAAUAGUAAUUUUGCAAUAAAGGGUAGUGGUCAUUUUAAUAAUAUUCUAUUAAAUUCUCUCGUGAAAUUGAGAUGCUAGUGGAAUAAUGAUAUAUUUUGUAAACUUUAUGUAGAAUUCUGCAAAAAAGAAAAAAAAAAGAUAUGUGUAUUUUAAAAAAUAAUGAAAAAAUAGAUGGUGGGUGGAUAAUUGCCCCUUUUUUUAGUAUAUUAUAUUGAUAUUUUUUUCUUGUUAGUUAUGUAAGCCAACCAAGAGUUGUUAAAUCAUUUGAAUUAAAAUUAAUUUAUUAAAUAAAAUUCAAAAAUUUAUUAUCAAAAUAGUAAUUAUGAAUAGAAAGAGAUAG